rnacentral:rRNA from 1 species
AUUUAUAUAAAAUAUUUUGAUGAAUAUUUAUAUAAUAUUAACAUAAUUCAUAUUACUAUAUAUUUUAGUAUAUGAAAUUUUACUUUGAGAAAAUUAGAGUGCUUAAAGCAGGCAUAUGCCUUGACAUACUCCAGCAUGGAAUAAUAUUAAAGAUUUUUAUCUUUCUUAUUGGUUCUAAGAUAAGAAUAAUGAUUAAUAGGGACAGUUGGGGGCAUUUGUAUUUAACAGUCAGAGGUGAAAUUCUUAGAUUUGUUAAAGACAAACUAAUGCGAAAGCAUUUGCCAAGGAUGUUUUCAUUAAUCAAGAACGAAAGUUAGGGGAUCGAAGACGAUCAGAUACCGUCGUAGUCUUAACCAUAAACUAUGCCAACUAGAGAUUGGAGGUUGUUCCUUACUCCUUCA